GAUGAACGCUGGCGGCGUGCCUAAUACAUGCCAGUCGAGCGAACAGACGAGAAGCUUGCUUCUCUGAUGUUAGCGGCGGACGGGUGAGUAACACGUGGAUAACCUACCUAUAAGACUGGGAUAACUUCGGGAAACCGGAGCUAAUACCGGAUAAUAUUUUGAACCGCAUGGUUCAAAAGUGAAAGACGGUCUUGCUGUCACUUAUAGAUGGAUCCGCGCUGCAUUAGCUAGUUGGUAAGGUAACGGCUUACCAAGGCAACGAUGCAUAGCCGACCUGAGAGGGUGAUCGGCCACACUGGAACUGAGACACGGUCCAGACUCCUACGGGAGGCAGCAGUAGGGAAUCUUCCGCAAUGGGCGAAAGCCUGACGGAGCAACGCCGCGUGAGUGAUGAAGGUCUUCGGAUCGUAAAACUCUGUUAUUAGGGAAGAACAUAUGUGUAAGUAACUGUGCACAUCUUGACGGUACCUAAUCAGAAAGCCACGGCUAACUACGUG
rnacentral:rRNA from 1 species